rnacentral:rRNA from 1 species
UGGGGAAUAUUGGACAAUGGGCGCAAGCCUGAUCCAGCCAUGCCGCGUGAGUGAUGAAGGCCCUAGGGUUGUAAAGCUCUUUCACCGGUGAAGAUAAUGACGGUAACCGGAGAAGAAGCCCCGGCUAACUUCGUGCCAGCAGCCGCGGUAAUACGAAGGGGGCUAGCGUUGUUCGGAUUUACUGGGCGUAAAGCGCACGUAGGCGGACUUUUAAGUCAGGGGUGAAAUCCCGGGGCUCAACCCCGGAACUGCCUUUGAUACUGGAAGUCUUGAGUAUGGUAGAGGUGAGUGGAAUUCCGAGUGGAGAGGGGAAAUUCGGAGAUAUUCGGGAGAACACCAGGGGGGAAGGCGGCUCACUGGACCAUUACUGACGCUGAGGUGCGAAAGCGUGGGGAGCAAACAGG